GCGCCCUGGGAGGCACGGAGGGCGGUAAAGGACAGGUGUGGCCGGGACCCCGAGGGGCCUCCUUAGAGAGGCCGGGCCCCUCCGCUCACGUCCGCCCGGCCGCUGUCCCCGCGCGGAGCCGGGGCGGGAAGGGCGCGUGUGCGGGGGGUUUUCGUCCACUGGGCUCCCCUGUUCAGAAGCCUCCGAAGUAACCUCGGGACUUUUCUCCAGAAGGAGAAGAAUUUCCGCUGCUCGAGUCCCGUUGCUCAGGCCCCGCGCGCUCCGGUUCUCACGGACCUGGCGACCCCGUCGUGUUCCCGUGAGUCCGGGGAAAAGUUGGCUCAGGGGCGUCUUCUGCUUUUCCUGUGCAAAAGAAUGUUUCAGGCCUCUGAUUUUCUGAGUGAACAUCCAAGGUAACCAGUCCUGUUCGACUCGGUAUAGACACUGACCCAUCAAGAGAGCUAGAAUCACUCCACAGAGUUUUCAAUAAGUAAGCUGUGGGACAGUGAAACAAUUGAUGAAGGUUCUGAAGAUCAAGUUGGUGAAGAUGU